GUGUCCCCAGGGGUUCUCUCCAAGCACUUCAUGAGGCGCUCUUUUGAGAACUUUUGUGAAGUGUUUGGGGGAACUCUCGGUGCCAC
rnacentral:pre_miRNA from 1 species